GAUGAAGAACGUAGCGAAAUGCGAUAAGUAGUGUGAAUUGCAGAAUUCAGUGAAUCAUCGAAUCUUUGAACGCACAUUGCGACCCUUGGUAUCCCGAGGGGCAUGCCUGUUCGAGCGUCAUUUCACCACUCAAGCCUGGCUUGGUGUUGGGCGACGUCCUCUUUGGGGACGCGCCUCGAAACGCUCGGCGGCGUGGCACCGGCUUUAAGCGUAGCAGAAUCUUUCGCUUUGGAAGUCGGGGCCCCGUCUGCCGGAAGACCUGCUCGCAAGGUUGACCUCGGAUCAGGCAGGGAUACCCGCUGAACUUAAGCAUAUCAAUAAGCGGAGGA
rnacentral:misc_RNA from 1 species